rnacentral:rRNA from 1 species
UCUAUCCGAGGCUGGUGAGCGAGGGAGUUUUGGGAAGGGACGGCGCGGCGGCGUAUUUGGGGAGAAGAGGGAGGGGUGGGCGGCGGCGGCGGCGCUGUUGGUAGGCGGGUCGCGUCGGUACCGCGGCCGGGGGCGCGGCUAAGCGCUGGAGGAGUGGAGGAAGUCGGUGAGCAGGCUGAAGGAGCGGGAGAGCAGCCCGCUGCCGGCGUAGUUCCAUACCCUGCGGCACGCGCCCGUGAACGUCUGCCUCAAGCGGCUGUAGGGGAGCCACCUCCAGCCCCGCGAGGCGCUCUGCUUCGCGCCGGUGGAGCGGGAGCUGAUGUGGACGUACUUCACCCAUGUUGAGAGGUGGUUCUUCUUCUCCUUCCGACCCUCGAGCGACGAGCACGAACCCUGCCCGUCACCUCUACAGGAACGUGAGCUGCAACGACGCCCGGUAACCUUCACCUCCUAGUCGCUAACAGUAGGACCUCCACACUGUCGUCACCGUAUGAGCUCCGUACCCGCCUCACACAUGUGUCGUCCACGACUACCGUACCAGACAUUCUAACUACGGAGUCUACCUAGACAACGUCCCUUUAAAUUUAGAAGGAGGUUCCGUUAUAGACGCAACCGUCAAAGUAGUCUACCUUGUCAAAACCGUUGUCGUCGACCAGUCAACUCCUGGAAACUGCGAAGACUGUUGUUUUUUUAAGUUUUUAAGAGACCCGUAGGCCACAGACACUCUUUGUACUAAAAAUCAUUGUUACCGUUUAUACAAGACAGUAGACCUCAACCCCUUGCGAUACAACGGUAAACCCUCAACCCGUCACCAUUUUCAGUCUCAAGUUCGACAUAUGAGAGAUACCAUGUGGGUCGUUAGAAACACCUGACGUACACAAGUCCAUGAUUACGAUGACUUCCUCUUUAUCUACACAACCGAUAUAGACUCCAACCAUAGACGAUAAAGACCAGACCCUUAUUGUACCUACUGAACGCGUUAUUCUUCGGAUGAUCCUAACGGAACAGGCUCAGGAGGGAAAGUUCUUGCUUAGUCCUAAAGUGCUAUAAACGGCGUUUUGAAGUUCCUUAUCUACCUGGAUUAAGCCGAGUACAGGAAGACCGUAUACCUAGGCACCACUUUGGUAGAAAACUAUUCGACGACCAAACAAUACCAUUCCUACAAUUAAACCCACAUAGACUUCUACCUCAAGAGAAUGGAUGUCAAGUUGGGUGGUACGUGGUCUUUCCAGUUAGACGAUUUUGUUUUCAUUGAUAGUGACGAGAUCUGGCGCGCUUACGUCUUCUACGGUAAGAAGGAGAAGGCUUCGAAGUAUGUGUUCUUUUUUUUUCCUUUGUACCACAUUGUUUUGGCUCACCGCAGUUUGAACGCUAACUAUCACUGGAACCAUGGUGAAGUUCCAACUGGCUCUUUUCUCAAGGCCACGUUUCUUAAUUUUUGCUGUCGUAUACGUAACUUCUAGACUACUCCUUUAUACCGCAGUAACUAGUUUCAGAGCAGCCGGUAGGACUGUACCGGUGAUUUUAGAAUAGUCUAGACAAAUCAUCGUCACCGUAUUGUUAACUGCGAUUAAAUGGGUCGUUCUUCUAAGCUCGUGUAGAUUCUAGAAAUUUCGGACCUCUACGAACGUUCGAAGAUCUCUUAAAUCAUACACGUACCUCUAGUUCUAGACCAUCGCGACUCGAACAAAACGCAACCUAUAUGACGAAUGAUCAUUAAGUACCAGCAAAAUAGGGGAGCCUCUUUAGUUCUUUUGAUUAAUCGCUGGACCUCUUCUACACACGUCUUUCUAUGUGUCGUUGACUUCUAAAUGACUUCGAAAGACCAGCAGAAGCCGACUAUUACCGUGUCCAACUGUUCCUACACUUUCUACACAGCCGCUUCCGGCGUCAGGUUAGACUACUUCUCCUUCUUCUACUUUAACUACUUUACCACAUACCACUUCUGCACCUAAACAGACUUUUAUCACUGCUACUACGGCUCAUCUUAGCGUCGUAACAACCGUACAGAGGCUCUCUAACAAGCUGAAACACAUGACAGUUCUACAUAAAAAGUUCGAAAGGUAUCAACUCAAACAUUUUGGCGCGUUGCUGCCUUCCAACGUGAUUAAAACUGUCGUCCUCCAUUAUAGACUUUCCGUAAAAACAUACCUUUGAAUAGGAUAGAUACGUAGGCUCUCUGAAACGCGUAGGUACGUAGACUUAACGUCCUCGUUGUAGCUUUGUCACUAAUUAAACGUCAAUUUGCGGGG